GAGGAGGCCCUAGGCCUGGACCCCCUUGCACCACUUUGGGUCAGGAGAUACUGGGCCUGGACUGCCUUCCACUGCCGGGCGGGGAUGGGAGGCUCCAGGCGGCCGCGCUUUUUCCAGUCCGCGGUCCCCACCGGCCGGUUCCCCUCUUCCCCCCACUUCGAGGCCUGCAAUUGUCUGCUGUACUGGCUCCCAGUGCUGAAAGCUAUUAUGAGAAAUACCACUGCGAUGAGUCUUCACAUACAAGUGUGUGCACCAUUUGACGGUCCCACCAGCAGCAUGAGAGAGUUCCAGUGUCUCCACAUCCUCGUCAACACUCACUACCUGACUUUUUGGGUCUAGCUCUCCAGGCCAGGAAGCCGAACCAAAUCCACCUCCCUCAGGUGUGCCCGCGGGACCUGUGUGUGUGCAAGUUUCUAUCUUCCAGAAGGUUCCAGUGUCUGCCAUGGCUCUUGGCCUGCCAGGAAGUAUCCUUCUUACUACUUGUGAGGCUGAGGCUUUGUGUGCCAGAGUACAGGUGCCCGGCCAGUAUGGGUCUGAGGGUUGUGUGGGCAUUGGUUCAGCACACAAGCCACAACCCUUGUUCCUUAAAGGUGGGCGUGUUGUGGAAGCACAGGAAAGUUAUUCUCAAAUAUGACACCCAUGUAAGGCCUGGGCUCCACUAUUAAUUUGUCUGAUUAUAUCCUGGUGACAAGGAGGACAAAUUUCUACUGCAACAAUGCAAAUUACUACGUUUUUAUUAAAAGUAAAUGUCAGUAAAACUAUUUUUCCUGAAUUCUGAAGUGAGAAAAACACCAUUUAAAGAACGUUUUAAUGUUUGUGAAAGGAUAGUCUCCUAAAGUAGAUUGUUGCAGAUACCGGGUAAAAAUAAAAAUUAAAUAAAUUAAAGGUGAGAUAGAUCAAAGAAGAAGGGUUUUGUCUUAUUCCUGCCAGAAACAGAAUAUCAGAAACAACAUGAGCAUCCUCCUCCUUGCCUUUUCUUGGGCUGUGCUUUCAGCCUGCAGAUAUAACCAUUCUGGAGAGCAGUGAUGCCCCCAGAACCGCAUUUUUGGCUGGUGCAAAAUGGGGGGCAGUGGUUGUGUCUGGGGCCAAGUUUCUGUCCUGUAUAGCCUAGAGAUGGUUAUGUAGCGGGGGACUGAGCUACUAAGUGAAGGCAUAGAUAGUUAUGUAGAAACAGAGGAGGGUAGAAUCAACUCCAUGCUAGAUUGUAACUGGAGGUACAGGUAUCAGUAUGAACUCAAGGUUUGCUAAGAGGUAUCAGAAAAGAUAUGGGUGUGUGUGUGUGUGUGUGUGUGUGUGUGUGUGUGUGUGUGUGUGUGUUUGUACAUACUUAUUUCCUAGCUCUGUCUGCUGAGUGUAAAUGGAAUCAUAUUCUGUAAUCUUUUGAGAUUUCUUUCUUCCAUUUAAAAUUAUGUGUUUGAGAUUUGGCCGUGUUGGUGGUGGAAUUCAUUCAUUUCUGUUGCUGUGUGCUAUUCCAUUGCGUGGAUACACCUCACUUUGUCCAUUUUACCGUCCUUUGAUAUUUAAGAUUUCUCCCAGUAUUUGCUAUUAAAAACAGCGUUAAAAUAAAAAAAAAAAAACACCAAAAA
rnacentral:lncRNA from 1 species